rnacentral:rRNA from 1 species
UUGAGCUAAUACCGGAUACGCCCUUCGGGGGAAAGAUUUAUUGCCGAAAGAUCGGCCCGCGUCCGAUUAGCUAGUUGGUGUGGUAAUGGCGCACCAAGGCGACGAUCGGUAGCUGGUCUGAGAGGAUGAUCAGCCACACUGGGACUGAGACACGGCCCAGACUCCUACGGGAGGCAGCAGUGGGGAAUAUUGGACAAUGGGCGCAAGCCUGAUCCAGCCAUGCCGCGUGAGUGAUGAAGGCCCUAGGGUUGUAAAGCUCUUUCGCCAGGGACGAUAAUGACGGUACCUGGAUAAGAAGCCCCGGCUAACU